rnacentral:sRNA from 1 species
AACCAUUUUUUAUUGCAUGUUGACUGGUUUACAGCUGACUCUUCGAGGCAUGAGUGAAGCGUUAGUUGACAAGCGGGUUGCUCCGGCCCUUGUUACCUUGUCCAGUGAUCCUGAAUUCUCUGUCAGGAUUGCCACAAUUCCAGCCUUUGGCACUAUUAUGGAAACAGUAAUUCAAAGAGAGUUGCUGGAAAGAGUGAAAAUGCAGUUGGCUUCUUUCCUGGAAGAUCCUCAGUAUCAAGACCAACAUUCUUUGCAUACAGAGAUCAUAAAAACAUUUGGUAGAGUUGGCCCUAACGCAGAACCCAGGUUCCGAGAUGAUUGUUAUACCACAUUUGCAUAAGUUAGCCUUGGUGAACAACUUACAGAUUGUGGAUUCUAAAAGACUGGACAUUGCUACACAUCUUUUUGAAGCCUACAGUGCACUUUCCUGUUGUUUCAUUUCAGAGGAUUUAAUGGUUAAUCACUUUUUACCGGGUCUCAGAUGUUUACGGACUGACAUGGAACAUCUCUCUCCAGAGCAUGAGGUUAUUUUAAGUUCCAUGAUAAAAGAAUGUGAACAAAAAGUUGAAAACAAGACCGUCCA